UACGAACGCUGGCGGCAUGCCUAACACAUGCAAGUCGAACGAGACCUUCGGGUCUAGUGGCGCACGGGUGCGUAACGCGUGGGAACCUGCCCUUAGGUUCGGAAUAACUCCCCGAAAGGGGUGCUAAUACCGGAUAAUGUCUUCGGACCAAAGAUUUAUCGCCUUUGGAUGGGCCCGCGUUGGAUUAGCUAGUUGGUAGGGUAAAAGCCUACCAAGGCGACGAUCCAUAGCUGGUCUGAGAGGAUGAUCAGCCACACUGGGACUGAGACACGGCCCAGACUCCUACGGGAGGCAGCAGUGGGGAAUAUUGGACAAUGGGCGAAAGCCUGAUCCAGCAAUGACGCGUGAGUGAUGAAGGCCUUAGGGUUGUAAAGCUCUUUUACCCGGGAUGAUAAUGACAGUACCGGGAGAAUAAGCUCCGGCUAACUCCGUG
rnacentral:rRNA from 1 species